rnacentral:snoRNA from 1 species
GAGCCAGCCAAUUAAUCUGCUUAUCUCAAUGUGCUUCUGCAGAAAUUUUGAGAAGGCUGGCAAUAGUGAUGCCAUGUUACGAGCCUUAAAGACAGCUGAAUGAAGUCUUUAAGGUCCCUGAAAAUGGCUACAGUG